CCUCGGCGGACUGCUCAGUAACACGUGGAUAAUCUGCCCUUAGGUGGAGCAUAACCUCGGGAAACUGAGAAUAAUACUCCAUAGGUCUAGGAUGCUGGAAUGCGUCUAGGCUCAGAGAUUUAUCGCCUAAGGAUGAGUCUGCGGACUAUCAGGUUGUAGUCAGGGUAAAGUCCUGGCUAGCCUACGACGGAUACGGGUUGUGAGAGCAAUAACCCGGAGACGAUAUCUGAGACACGAUAUCGGGCCCUACGGGGCGCAGCAGGCGCGAAACCUUCACACUGUGCGAAAGCGCGAUGAGGGGAUCCCAAGUGCUUGCUCUUAGGAGUAAGCUGUUUUCCUGUUUAAAUCGCAGGAAGAGGAAGGGCUGGGUAAGACGGGUGCCAGCCGCCGCGGUAAUACCUGCAGCUCAAGUGGUGACCGCUAUUAUUGGGCCUAAAACGUCCGUAGCCGGCUGAGUAAAUGCCUGGGUAAAUCGUGCCGCUUAACGGUACGAAUUCCGGGUAGACUGCUUAGCUUGAGACCGGGGAGAAGCUAGAGGUACUCCUGGGGUAGAGGUGAAAUUCUGUAAUCCUGGGGGGACCACCAGUGGCGAAAGCGUCUAGCUAGAACGGGUCUGACGGUGAGGGACGAAACCCUGGGGCGCGAACCGGAUUAGAUACCCGGGUAGUCCAGGGCGCAAACGCUGCUUGCUUGAUGUUAGCUGGGCUCCGAGCUCAGCUAGUGUCGGAGAGAAGUUGUUAAGCAAGCUGCCUGGGAAGUACGAUCGCAAGAUUGAAACUUAAAGGAAUUGGCGGGGGAGCACAGCAACGGGUGGAGCGUGCGGUUUAAUUGGAUUCAACGCCGGAAAACUCACCGGAGGCGACGGUUACAUGAAGGCCAGGCUGAUGACCUUGCCUGAUUUUCCGAGAGGUGGUGCAUGGCCGCCGUCAGUUCGUACCGUAAGGCGUUCUGUUAAGUCAGAUAACGAACGAGACCCUCAUCCUUAAUUGCUACUAAUAACUCCGGUUAUUAGGCACAUUAAGGAGACCGCUGACGAUAAGUCAGAGGAAGGCGAGGGCAACGGUAGGUCAGUAUGCCCUGAAUCCUCCGGGCUACACGCGCGCUACAAAGGCCAGGACAAUGGGCUUCGACACCGAAAGGUGAAGGUAAUCCCGAAACCUGGUCAUAGUUCGGAUUGAGGGUUGCAACUCACCCUCAUGAAGCUGGAAUCCGUAGUAAUCGCG
rnacentral:rRNA from 1 species